GACAGUCAUAUUAGAAGUGUAUAGCGGAGUUAUAGUGAAAACGUGAUCAUAUUCCAUCCACAGGCUUGUGCGACUGUCAGCGAAAAAAAUCAGCCAACUUGCAUCAUUUCGCUAUGAUUUCUGACUUUGAAGUGCAGUUUGUGACUUCUCCAAAAGAGGAAGUUAGAGUACUUUGGCCAGGCAGUGACAGCUCAAUUAGUGAUGGACUGCUUUCCACAGAUAUUGACAGAAAUUUAUACUGCAUAAAACAACAACAGUGAGACACCAAGAAACUUGCCUUAAUGCGAAAGAAGCAUCUCAAGAGGAAAUUGGACAAAGAUCUCUCAUGUAACGAGGAACAUGCAAGCUAUGUGAAAGGUGUUUUUAGAGAUGAAGAUGUGAGCGAGACGACAAGAAACCAAACAUGAUAAGUAUGUGGCACAUGGCACAUCAAGGGGUUUAUAACCUAAGAAGACGCAAGCAAACCAUAAUGGAUACUACUAAACCCUCCUGUCAUCUUUCAGAGUGGCGAUGACGAGGCAUCUAGAAUUUAUUUCUAAGAAUCACAACCAGCUGGUGUCGCUAACACAGAACACAGGCCCCCGAAACAGACAAAAAGGACUGGCAAAACAAAAUGGAACACUGAGCAGUAGUUAGCCUAAGUUGUGGCAAACAAGUGACUUGACGCCAGGGUGGGAGAGUUGGGUAAACAACCUAAGAAACCUUGAGUAUUGUCACGGCGCGGAUUCGAACCCGUGUCUCUCAUAAUUCUGAGUGUCACAAUUCCUCCUCUGGCUGCUCGGUCGGACACGCCCCCUCAUGCUGGGCAGCGACAAGGCUGCAGGCAAUCACUCAUCAGCACACCUGGGCUUGACGAGAGGGAGCGGCAUAAAGAGACAGCGAAGCCAGGAGACCUUCGCCAGAACGUAGCCAAUCCCACCUGAUGUCUUCCGUGAUCGUGUCUUGCGUCACGACCUCCUCCCGGAUUGUUGCUUGCCUUCCCCGAUCCUUGACCACUGUUUGGACCCUGACAUCGUUGCCUCUCCCCAGCCCCCGACUGCUUGCCUUCCUGCUGACAACUCCUUCGCCUCCCCCUUUGGAUUCGACGAAAGAUACAUCCAACACGCACCGAAAACACCCUCUGGUAAAGUCUACAUUGUUAAUUCCACACAUAGUCUGCAUUCACUCACUAGUGGUAGCAUACACAUCCCACACAUUCAUCAAAUGUUUAAAUAAACCUUCAAAAAGGCAGUUCUGCCUUGGUGUCGCCUCCUUCCCUUUGCCUAGUACACAACAAGUAUAUUCAAAAUUAAAAAAUGUGUCAUGCCUCAAGACUUUGGGUAGACCUUUGGCUUGCCUGCGACAGAGAACAUAUCCCCGUCUGGAGUGGAGUUACACUGUUUAAAUGUUUAUAAAGCAUUAUUCAGGUUUACUUUAUUUAAGAAAAUACCAUUUAUUCUAGAGUGCAAGUGCAAUUCAUAUAAUUAAAUUGAAACAAUGGUAAUUUGGUGGGAGUGUAACUGUCAUUACAUUGUGACACCAUAGUUGUUGACAGUGUCGUACAUUUUGUAUAUUUAGGUUUGUUUAAAAUAAUUUUCCUGUUCAAUACUUGUAUGUGUAACAUGUUUAUACAUGAAAAUAUUAUUUUAGAAGUUUUGGAAUGUUAUAGAUGUGUCACAACAACCGGAAGUAUAGCAAAUGGAAGUCAAAGGCCUAAAGUUUAGAGCGCAAACAGAAAAGAGAAAUCGGAUAGAGGUUCUUUUUGUAUAUUUUACAAUUGGUCUACCAGGUGAACACGGUGAAUAUAAUUUGUAACUGUAAUGUAUUAUUUUUGUAUAUGUGUACUGACAAGUGGUAAAUGUAACUGUUGAAAGUUUUCACGGUGUUCAUGUCGAUGACAAUGCCGCAGUAGCAAUAAAUCCACCGUAGACAGCAGUACUAGAAGUGUUGACUCUCCUUGGACUGGGGGAGUUAUACCUUGUUUCUCCCCAAGCAGAAAUCUCUCAGAAGUUAACGUCACUAAAAGAACUCAAAGAAGAAUGCAUGAUCUACUGCUCAGAAGAAUGCAUGAAACUUUUUGAGAAAGGCUGAAUUCCUCUUUAGGCAAUGUCAAGAAAAGUUAAAAAACAAUGAAUGUCUUGCAUCAAGACUUGUCAAGCAAGCAGAAGAGCUGACAAAAUACUUUAACGUGCCCUCAUGUCAUGAACCUAAAAACAUUCUACAGACAAUUUUUCAAAGCAAUACUGCAUUUCAAUGCAAAGAAGAGAAAAAAAACAAUCAAGGACAAAAAGACAAAAUAUAAAUCAACUGGUGAACUUGGCAGCAAAAGCAUGGCUAUGCGUGCAGCUGUAAAAAGUUAAGAUAGUGCACUAUUAUUUUAUUAUUUUAAAUGUUUUAAAUUACUUCACACUAUUAUUAUAGAGAGAAA